GCCAGGCAUGGUGGCGGGCGCCUGUAGUCCCAGCUACUCAGGAGGCUGAGGUGGGAGGAUCGCUUGAACCUGGGAAGUCGAGGCUGCAGUGAGCUCUGAUUGUGCCACUGCACCCCAGCCUGGGUGACAGAGCGAGACCCUGUCUCAA
ensembl:misc_RNA Metazoa_SRP Metazoan signal recognition particle RNA